rnacentral:rRNA from 1 species
AUGACGGUCGCCGAGCUGCUCCGCGCCCAGCUCGAGGAGCAGAACAUCGAGGUGAUCCUCCAUUCCGACCCCUCCCGCCUCUCCGAUUUGAACUCCGUCAGCUCCGGGAGCGGCCUCGCGGAGCGGAGGGGCUCCGAACAGGCCCUUAGUUUGAUAGGUGCAAAUCCUGAAUGGGGUGAUGCUGGUGGAAGAUCUCGGCAGAGUAGGAGUGAGAAGAAGAGCAGGAAAGCCAUGGAGAAGCUUGGCAUGAAGGCCAUUACUGGUGUGACCCGUGUAACUAUCAAGAAGAGCAAGACCCCAGACGUCUUCAAGAGCUCGCAGUCAGACACCUACAUCAUGUUCGGGGAGGUCAAGCUCGAGGACCCGAGCACUCAGCUGCAGACACAAGCGGCGGAACAGUUCAAGGUGCCAGGCCCGAGCAGUGUGAUCUCAAGGGGCGAGCCGUCCGUGGCAGCUGCCCAGGACGAUGAGGAGGUCGACGACACUGAUGUUGACAAGAAGGACGUCGAGCUCGUGAUGAGGCAGGCCUCCGUGUCGAGAUCCAGGGCCGUGAAGGCACUCAAGGCUGCGGAUGGCGACAUUGUCAGUGCUAUCAUGGAGUUGACUAACUAG